GUAGGUGAACCUGCGGAAGGAUCAUUAAUGAGUUAGGGUCCUAUGGGCCCGACCUCCAACCCUUUGUCUACAUUACCUCUUGUUGCUUCGGUGGGCCCGUCCCCUCUAGAAAUAGAGGACGACUGCCGGAGGGUGACCGCCCUCUGGCCCGCGCCCACCGAUGGCCCCAACCCAAAACUCUUGUUUAAUCAUGAAUUGUCUGACUGAAAAAAAAAAUAACCAAAAACUUUCAACAACGGAUCUCUUGGUU
rnacentral:misc_RNA from 1 species